rnacentral:rRNA from 1 species
AACGAACGCUGGCGGCGUGGAUAAGACAUGCAAGUCGGACGAGACUUUUCGUUGUAGCAAUACGAUGGAAAGUUUAGUGGCGAACGGGUGCUUAACACGUGGGCAACCUGCCAGGAAGUGGGGGAUAGCUCGCCGAAAGGCGAAUUAAUACCGCAUGUGAUUAGAGAGGACAUCCUUUCGAAAUUAAAGUCGGGGCAACCUGACGCUUCUUGUGGGGCCCGCGGCCUAUCAGCUAGUUGGUGAGGUAACGGCUCACCAAGGCUUAGACGGGUAGCUGGUCUGAGAGGACGACCAGCCACACUGGGACUGAGACACGGCCCAGACACCUACGGGUGGCAGCAGUCGAGAAUUUUUGACAAUGGGGGAAACCCUGAUCGAGCGACGCCGCGUGGAGGAUGAAGGUCUUCGGAUUGUAAACUCCUGUCAUUGGGGAACAAGGUGCAUACGUUAACUGCGUGUGCAUUGAUAGUACCCGAAGAGGAAGAGACGGCUAACUCUGUGCCAGCCGCCGCGGUAAUAC